UCAAAAACAUGUCUUUUUGAGGUUAAUUUAAAGUCUAAUCUGCCCACUGAUAUAGAUAUUAAAGGGCUGCAGUAUAUUGACUGUACAAAGGUAGCAUAAUCAUUAGUCUUUUAAUUGAAGACUUGUAUGAAGGAUUUGAUGAAAUAUGAACUGUCUCUGAUUUAUAAAUAGAAAUUAAUUUUUUAAUUAAAAAGUUAAAAUAUUAUUAAAAGACGAGAAGACCCUAUAGAGUUUUAUAAUUUAUUUAUUUAAUUAAUAAGUAUAUAUUUUAAUUUAAUAAAUAAUUAAAUUAUUAUGUUGGGGUGAUAAAAAAAUUUAAUAAACUUUUUUUUAAUUUGAAACACAAAUAAGUGAUAAAAUGAUCCAUUACUAAUGAUUAAAAGAAAAAAUUACCUUAGGGAUAACAGCGUAAUAUUUUUUUUUAGUACAAAUAAAAAAAAAAGUUUGCGACCUCGAUGUUGGAUUAAGAUAAAAUUUAAAUGCAAAAGUUUAAAAGUUUUGAUCUGUUCGAUCAUUAAAAUCUUACAUGAUCUGAGCU
rnacentral:rRNA from 2 species